rnacentral:tRNA from 1 species
GUCCCCAUAGUUCAAUGGAUAGAACAUGAGAUUGCGGAUCUCAAAAUCCAGGUUCGACUCCUGGUGGGGACA